rnacentral:pre_miRNA from 1 species
UUAUUACUCCCUCCGUCCAAAAAUACUUGUCAUCAAAAUGGAUAAAAAGAGAUGUAUCUAGAACUAAAAUACAUCUUGAUACAUCUCCUUUUAUCCAUUUUGAUGAUAAGUAUUUCUGGACGGAGGGAGUACAAA